rnacentral:lncRNA from 1 species
CAUGAGAAGGGUAGAUGGGAAGCCAGCGGAAUAGCUCACUCUUUUGAGAUCUGCUGCAAUGGAUGGGUUGAGGCUCGGUGGCUGUUGGAAAAAGAAGGGGCAAGGAAAGUCUUUUUAGGAUGAGAGAAACCAACAAGUGCAAGUUUGUGAAAAGAGGCUGGUGUCUUUAGAAGAUGGAAAGGGAAAGAAUCAAGCACAGAGAUGUAAAAGAGAUCAGAGCUGUUUAUUUGCUGAGAUAAUUUUGGCUUCUGCAUGGAGAAGAAGCCAUAAAAAGGCAAGAGCAAAAGUGGGGAGAAUAUUCAGGAGGCUACUCCAGGAAUCCAGGAACUAAGGCCAAGAGAGGGAAAGUGACUUGCCAUUCAUGGAGCAGAUGUCAGGCCGGGCACCACUGCAGAGCACACUGUGAAUUAGCCACAUCAUACAAACUCUAUCUUCUCUGAGAAAUGGAAUUUUACCCAGAGUUGGGGAAAGAAGGUGUAGUAAGGGGAUGAACUCUCCGACCUCUUAGAAUCACAGAAGCUACACAGGAAAAGGGAAGACUGCGCUCGGCCUGGAUUCUGGCCCCACCUUAGCCCCUGGCAUGUUCCUCUCUGGUUCUCUGUCGUUCUACAAGGCUACAGUGCGUGGGUUACAAACCCGCAGAUUUAAGGGAUUGUGAUUUAUGUUCUGUAGGCCUUAUGGGAUUCUACCGUUUCAGCAAGCUGCAUGCUUACAUCUGCAAGGGAUUUUUUUUAAAAUAAUGAUGCUUAUUAAGGCACUUACACUUGCAUUAUGUUAAUCCCCAUGACACCUCUGAGAAGUAGGGAAGGACUGUUAGGUUUUUGUUUUUUGCAGAUGAAAAAAACAAUGCCAGAAGUUUUGUUAAAAAAAGUUCCCCAAACAAAAGCCCUCCAAACAAACCUGUUCUUGUUGAUUUAAUAAGAAAAUUCUGAGAUACGGAAAUUAAAAUAAAAGUAUAAUUUUGACACCAUCUAGGCACACACACACGGUGCUAUGGUACAGUGUGGUUCUUGAGUCACAAUGACACACCACGGACUUAAAAUGACCACUAUUUGAGCAUUAAUAAUGCCUUGGUGUUACUCAGCACAAAAUUUGACUCACUAAGGAGGUUUCUUUUGGUUUGUAGAGGACUAAAAGGAUUGAGCUGGUUUGGUGGUGUAUUAGUCCAUUUUCACGCUACUGAUAAAGACAUACCUGAGACUGGGUAAUUUAUAAAGAAAAUGAGGUUUAAUGGACUUACAGCUCCACGUGGCUGGGGAAGCCUCACAAUCAUGGCGGAAGGGGAAAGGCACAUCUUACGUGAUGGCAGACGAGAGAGUGGGAGCCAAGUGAAAGGGGAAAACCUUUAUAACACCAUUAGAUCUCGUGAGACUUAUUCACUACCACGAGAACAGUAUAGGGGGAACCGCCCCCAUAAUUCAAUUAUCUCCCACUGGGUCCCUCUCACAACACAUGGGAAUUAUGGGAGCUACAAUUCAAGAUGAGAUUUGGGUGGGGACACAGCCAAACCCUAUCAGAUGGUUAUAAAUAUCUAGCUAUAAGAAAUGAAAAUGUGGAGACCAUGUUCUGGUGCCUAGUGCAAAACAGUCCUAGCCUUUUGCCAGCAUAGUUAACUGGAUUACUGAAUUACUAAAUACUUGGAAUAAUCCAACUAUGUGUCCAAAGCUACAAUCAGGCUUAGGUGACAAAUGCUCUUAGCCAGCCUGAGCCUGUGCCUGUUCUUACAUUCAAAACCCUAAUAAUAGCAAGCCUCCUGGAUCUGGAAAAGCUGAAGAUGCAGUUUUGUGAAAAGAAAGCACAAGGCAGCAAGGGACCCAGAAUCUUCCAAGAAGGUAGGGCAUAGUUCAUAGUGUGUCUUCCGGAAGAAAAAACCCAGACAUUUAGCUUUCCUCUUAUUUCACUGUCAAAUGGCAACACUGUUGCAUACAUCAGGGCUUCCUCCUUUCUCUUCUCUUGUGCAGCUGUGGGUUUUCCAAAGGCCUAGAUCUACUGUGAGAUCUUCACUCACUGCCCAUUUCUCAGUGCCCCUGCUCCCUCUCCUAUGGAUCCAGGAAUGCGAGAUUGGGGCUGAAACUCAGCCUCCACUUUCCAUAUGCUCCUGGUGUGGUUGGUGGUUUAUUCUUUGUCAUCCAUGACCCCACAAAAACUACUUUCAUCUGCAUUUAGAGACACCCUUUGGUUCCCUACUCUCUGGGUUGCUCAGCAAAAAUAUUUUUGUGUCUGCCUAUCAGCGGCACUCAUAUUUUGUAAAUGAAAAGAUGGAUGGAUGAUGAAUGAAUGUCACUUUUUACUGUUCCUAGUCCCUUACCCCCCAUCUCUAUAUCCACUCCUCUUAUUCCUUUGGACAUGCAGUUUCAUCCUUCAAGAUUCAGCCCAAAUGUGAAAUAGUAAGUAGCGGGUAUUUAAAUAGCUAUGAAUGAUGACAAAGAAAUUAUUCUUACUUUUAAGAUGGUGGUGGGGAGGACUGUCCCCCUUUUUUAGCCUUUCGGCGGAAACAAAAUCACAAUGACCAAUUUUGUCAAGCAAAACAAUUAUUUUUUGAAAGUCACAUUUAUGGGGUCUGUUCUCCAUGAGAUCACAGAGGGCAUUUUUGACUGAAAAUCUGGUGCCUUUAAGUUUUAUAAAGCAGAUUGUGCAAGGACUUUGGCUCAGGUUUUCUGGAUGGCUCUUUAAACAUGUGGAUAGAUGUCGCACAGCCUUAGGCAGUUGAAAGAAGCAAAGGGAUCUUCUUGGAAGAGUGCAAAAGACAGCUGAGAGCAGGUGACCUGGGUUGGGCUUAUGGAUGAGGCAGGUGCUAGGGACAGGGCCUGUUUACCCUGCAGGGGGAGGGGGUAAUUGCAGCAACUUUUGACUCUGUAGGCAUGAGAUGAAGGACAGGCAGAACCUAGAAACCAGGGACAGGGUGUCCAAUAGGCUUGGGCUCUGGGCUUGAUGUAAUGCAUAGGAUUCUGAUCCUCAGGAAGGAGAUUGUGGAAUGAGACAAAGUACUGAGAUGGGAUCUCUAAAUGAGGGGGCUCAAUGCACCAAGGUGAGACAUGAUUCAGGGAACAGUGUAGGAGCCCAGUGGUUAGGAUUCUCAGUCAGGUGGGUGCUGGCAGCAUCUACCUAACCAAAACUGCCUUGGCCCUGGGAGAGGUGUACGGGAGAUGGAGGCUACCAAGUAUUACAUUCAUCACUCUGCCAUCCAGGGGCAAACAGAGGGUAGAAAAGGCCAGGAAAGGAGGUAGCGUGUCAUGCUUAAAAACGGAGACUCUGGAGUCAGACUUCCUAGGUUUACCAGCUCUGACUCUUACUAGCUCUGUGUAUCUAAGUCACUUCACCACUUUAUAGAUGUUUCUUCUUCAUCUGUCAAAAAGGAGAUAAGAGUAGCAGGUGAUUCAUUUUGUAGUUAUGAGGCUAAAAUGAGUUGGUGAAUGUAAAUGGCUCAUUACAAUGAAGGCUCAAUACCUUUUAAUUAUCAUUAAAAGAUAGGGAGGCAAUUGCUGGCUUUAUUAAGCAACCUAGUUUAGAAAUCCAAGUUGGACAUUGAAAUAUAAAAGAUCAUGGCUUGCAAAGUAGUCUAAGCCAUGUUUACGGGUUUAACUUUUUACUUAAACAACCUCUCGAGCCCUUGUUCUGCAGACUAGGUAGUGCUCAGAGUUUUCUGGCAAACACUGGCCUUCUUUUUCUUCCUCCUCUUGGUCUUUAGUAGGCAGAGUUUUGGUUCUUCCUUUCCACUUUUUCUUUUAAACUACUCCAAAUUCUUGACCUGCCUGGACCUCUGACCUCAUGACAACUCUCUAAGCUGAAGAAACAGCUUUUCUCCGAGGCUAGCUUAAGAAAGUCUUAGUGACUCACUUGAGGACCGAGGUUGCCUGCAGUCUCGCUGCUCUGAGUGUGGUUCUGCAUGACAGCAGCAGCAGCAGUAGCAGCAGCGGCACCCAGGAGCUUGUCAGAAUGCAGGAUCUCAGGCCCCCACCCAGACCUGCUCACUCAGAGUCUGCAUUUUAACAAGAGCCCCCAAGUACCUCGUGUGCAUAUGAAAGCCUGAGAAAUAUUGGGGAAAAAUAAUUUCAUUAUUUGCUCAUUUCCUCAAAAUGCACCAGAAACACCAUGGAGAACAAAUGUGUUGGUUCCUGGUUGCAGCUGACUCUGUAGCUGAGGCCGUGAAAUGGCUGGAGAAUGGCUGGAUAGCACAAGGGCAGCCUGAGGGUUGGCUAUGUCCCUGAAGCUGCCCACAGUAGAAAAUGCAAAGAGAUCUUUUUAAUACUCAGCGAGCAAGAAUGCAGAGGCCAAACUUCAGCAUUCUGAAUUGAAAUUGAGGCUACUAACAGGAUAGGGCUCCAUUAGCCAUCACACUGGACUGAGUUUUACACAAGGGACCAUAGCUUUCUGACUCCUACAUAUGGCCUGGCAGCAAAUAGCUGGACUCAGCUAGUGGUUAAGAGUGUUAACAAGUGCUGUGCACAUCCUGCCUAUACCCUCUCAGCCCAGCUUCUUCAUGCAAACACAGGCCAUUCUUUGCCUAAGAGCUCUUUUUCUGGCUGUGGGAACAUAGCCUGAUUAGGGAGCAGCCUUCAAUCAGUCACAAAUGGGAAUUUGUGGGUAAAUACUUCAGCUCCCUCAGCCCACAGGUAGGGAUAACAGUGAGUUAUCUAUCCUGGCACCCAGAGUUUCCUAGUAGAAUCGAGGUCCUGUUGUCCACUCUGGUCACUUGCUUGACAAUGCACCAUGUUGGCUGCCUUCCUGUGCCCUGGUCACCUACUGGUGCUUCCUGUGCCCUGCUCACCUACUGGUGCUUCCUGGCAUCACUUUCUGAAUAAGUGACUUGUGAUUACAUCCGUGUCUCAAGGUCUGCUGCUGGGGGAAGCAAACCAAGACAAAAGCAACAGACUUGGGUCUGCAUUUUGACCCCUGUGAUUUAUCAUUUGCCUGACCUUAGGCAGGUCAUAUAAUCACUUUGAGGAUUAGUUUUCUCUUUAAUAAAAUGAGGAUAAUGAAAAGAACUCUGUAUCUGGGUUGCUGUUAAAAUUAAAUGAACCAGUUAGCUAAGAACUUAAUACCAGUGAAAGCUGAAUAAAUGAUAGAGUAGUUAUGACUCAGCUAUUAUCCACAUGUACUAUUAUAGAAGAACUAAUCUAUGGUGAUAAAAGAUUCUGGUACUCAGGUGUUUUUUUUGUUGUUGUUGUUAUUGUUUAAGAAAUGAGGUCUUGCUAUGUUGCCCAGGCUGGUCUUGAACUCCUGGCCUUAAGUGAGCCUUUCAUCUUAGCUAACCGAGUAGUUGGGCUUACAGAUAUGAGCCACCAGGCCUGGCUCUAGUACCCAGUUUUGAAUUUAGCAUCACUAAAAAUGCACUUCUGAGUCUUUUCCUGUUUUUUUAGGAAAUAGACUUUCGGUGUUCUGAUUUUGCUCCCUUGCAGAACUUUCCUUCUAUUUAGUCUUCUCAGGUAUUCAUUCUGGCUUUGUGGGAAAUGGAGAGAGAAUAAUAAUGAAUAGCUUUGGAGUUAAUGGUCAAGCCUAUUUACACAGGCUUAAAAGUUUAUUAUGAUGGUCUGAGUAGGUUUAAGUAUAUCUUAGGUAUUUUUUCCUACAGAGAAUUAAAAAAUCCAAGGGCCCAGAAUUCUGAUUCAUUUAUAGUUGGCUUAAAUAACAAAGGAUGUCCACUUCCAUUGGUACUGCUAAAAAAUAGAACCUCCUCCUCUCCAACAGGCAGAAGAGUAUUGUUAAGGUGUAAGGAGAGGACAUGAAGCAGAGGACAGUCUGUGAGAGCAGAACAAGUUUAGAGUUGCAUGAAAUUCCACAAUCCCAUUGUUUAAGAAUGCUCUGGUGCAGGUGGCCAUUCUUAAAACCUGUCUCACAAGUUAUUAGCUUCUAUCUGGACUGGUUGUGUGUGUCAUGCACAUACAGUUUCUGCAGAUCCUAAACAAUCCCUGUAUUAUCAGUCCAAUCUGUGUGGAUGCAUAUGAAGGAUUAAGACAUCACUGCAUACUAAAGCAGUUAGUAUUAUCUUGGGAAUAGCAGAGCAAGAAACAGAGCCAGCAGCAUCUGAUGCUGUACAUAUUAUAACUCCAUUCAGUUCUUUCCCUGUCCUUAUACUUCUUGCUUCCCUCACCUCUCAAGAAAGAAGUCAUUCAGAGGACCCUGGAAAUAACUGCUCUCAAGGGGUCUGUUUUUGUGAUGUAAAUACAACAGCAGCAGAAUAUGCUCGUGUUUCAAAGUUGUAUUAAACAUGUGGGUGUGUGGGAACAAGGGUUCUGUGCACCUGUGAAUGAAAGCCUAGUGGUUUCCUAUUGCUGCUGUAAGAAGUUAGAAUACACUUAGUGACUUUAAGACAACACAAACUUAUCUUACAGUUCUAGAGGUCAGAAGUCUGAAAUGGGUUCGACUGGGUGAAAAUCAAGAUAUUGGCAGGGCUGUAUUUCUGUCUGGAAGCUCUAGGGGAGAAUCCAUGUCCUUGGUUUUUCCGGCUUCUAGGGAAAUGCUUCCUGCAUUCCUUAGCUUGUGGUCUUCUUUCAUCUUCAAAGCCAGCAAGGGCUCUUUAAGUCUUUCUCACAUUGCAUUGCCCUGAUCCUCACUCUUUUGCCACUCUUUUCCACAUUUAACAACCCUAUGAUUGCACUAGACCUACGUGGAUAGUCUCUUUAAGGUUAGCUGUUUUGCGGCCUGAAUUCCAUCUGCAACCUGAAUUCCCUUUGCCAGGCAACAUAAUGUUUGUAGGUUCUGGGGAUGAGGGCAUGGACGUCUUUGGAGGGUGAGCAUUAUUUUUCCUACCAAAGAGAGCAGAAGAGCAACAGCAGCUCAGGCAUAAUAGACUCCCAUGGGUUAGAGGACAGACUCUGACCCUAGCUGCACCCAAUUCUCAAUUAGUUGGGAAGGGCAGUAUUUACCCAGAUAGCUCCAGGCUUCACUAUUAAUCAGUUGUAUGAUCUUGGACAAGUUGCUUAAUAACUCUAAGCCUGAAUCUUCUCAUUUGUAAAGCAGUUCCUACCUCAUGGAAUUCUUCACAGGGCUAAAUAAAUUAGAGAAGGCCAUUACCUCAGCAUCUGGCACAGAGGACUUUCUCAAUAAAUGUUAGUUGCUAGUCUAAAUAACAACAGCUAACAUUCAUUGUUAGGAUAGAGAUAGUAACUAUUAUCUAUUUUUCAUGAGUACAAAGGGAGGGCAUGAAGAAUAAGUUACUGAAUGUUUUGAGAGCUUUGUAAAAUUGGGAGAUAAAAUUUAACCCUUAAAUUGUAAUUUCAGCAAAAAGUUAAGAAUUUAAGGGAAAAUUUUAUUGGAAAUAAUUUGAAACGUAAUAGAAAAAUUCCAAGAAUAAGAGUACUGCAAAGAACACCCACUUACUUUAACCUAGAUUCACCUAUUAACACUUUAUCCCAUUUGCUUAAUCAUCUCGUCUAUGCAUAUUUAUAGCUAUGUCUGUCCACCUGUGUUUAAAUGUGUGUGUACACACACACACAAUUGUUUCCCUGAAUUAAGACAAAGUUGCAUAUAUCAUGGUCUUUACCCCUAAAUAAUUCAAUGUGUCUUCUUUAAGAAUAGGGUAUUCUCCCCUUUAAGAAUAGGGUAUUCUCAUACAAUUACAGCAGGAUUCAGCAAACCUUUUCUAUAAAAAAGCCAGAUAGUUUUACUUUAGGCUUUGUGGACCACAUACAGUCUCUGUUGCGUAGUCUUCUUUUUCUUUAUACGACGCUUUAAAUAUGUAAAAGUGUUCUUAGUUCACAGGUCAUAAGUUGUCUACCCCUGGACUAUGGUGAAAUGAUCCACUUCAGUAUUUUUAAUGUUGAUACACUAUUCUUAUCUAAUAUUAUCUAAUUUACCAUGCAUCUUCCAAUUUUUCAAACUGGCCUAGUAAUUUCCUUUAUGCAUUUUCCUGUCUCUUUUGGAAUCUAGUCUAGGACCCGCCAUUGCACUUGGCUGAUACUGUUCUUUCUUAUCCUUUAAUCUGGGCCAUUUCCUCAGCCUUUCACUGUCUCUUAUGGUAUUGACAUGUUUAGAGAAUACAAUUCCCUUUUUAAAAAUAGAACAUUCCUAAUUUGGGGUUGUCUGGUGACAGGAUUCAGUGCUCUAACCUGCAUCCCAUAUAAAUGAUGUCAAAGGCUUUUUAGGGUAUCAUAUCUGGAGACACACAGGGUCCAUCUGCCCCUCACUGAUGACUUCCAGGUAAUAGCAAAUGGAAAAACAACAACAAAACAAAACAACACAAAAACAGAGAAUAGAGAAAUUCUAAGAGAACACUGCUGUAGAGACAGACGAUCUUCAGAAUUAUUAUUUUUUUUUCAUCCAGUGCUGUUCAAAGCUUUAACUUAAAGCUUGUGUCUCUGUUUCCAUCUCUACUAGACAUAUGGAGAAGGCAACUAAAUGUUUUGAGAAAAACCAGUUUAGCUGGGGAACAGCAUGGUAAGAAGCAGAACUCCCAGGUGCCUUUUGUUGCUUUUUGAAGUACAUACAUUCUUAGCAUGAUUGUUCAGGUCAUGCUGAAAGUCCUGCUGCUCUCUGCAUGCUCCAGAUUAGUUUUCUGCUUGAAAUAAUCUUUUCUUCUUCCCUGAUUAGAAUUAUCUUAAUCCUUCAGCAUCUACUGCAAAUGCCAUCCAUUUUAUGCAAUUCCCAAGGAGAAAUAGACUCUUCAUUUUUCCAUAAUGUUUUCUACUGUCCCUUAGUGACACUGAUGACAAUGACGAGGGUAAUAAUAGUAAUAACAUAGCAGCUACAAAUAAUUCAGUAGUUCCCAUUGCCAGGCAUUGUGCUAAGCACUUAUAUGCCUUUUCCAACCACAGUAUUAUUUGUGUAUCAUAAUUAUCCUCAUUUUUGGAAUAGAAAAAUUGAGAUCCAGAAGGUAAAGUAGUGUGUCUAGGACCACAGUUUCACAGUCUAAUAAGCUGUAGGAUGAGGACACAAAUGCAUGGGUCAAAGCCUGUACUUUGUUUUAAAAUAUUGGAGCAAUGGUUUUAAUUUUAUAUAUGUUGUAUGAUUAUAAUAAUAUUGUUAGCUUAAAUUUACUUACAGGGAAACAUACAAAUAUUAAGUGUACAAUUCGAUGAAUUUAAAUAAGAAUGUAACCAUCACCCCAUCAAAAGAUUGCCCCAGAAAGUUCUUUUAUGCCUCUUCUCACCAAUUCCCUCCCUCCAAACCAGAGACAAGCAUUGUUAUAAUUUCUAUCAUCAUAGAUUAGUUUUGUCUAUUUUUGAAUUGACUACAAAUGAACUCAGACAGUAUGUAUACACGUUUGUGUCUGGUUUAUUUCACUCAAAAUAAUUAAAAUAAUUUUUCUUGAGAGUCAGCC